AACGGUUCCCUAUGGGAGUGUCGCCACUCUGUUCUCUCUACCGCUCUGGUUUUGUAUAUGAGACUCGCCGUAUGGUCCCAGCAUGGAAGUUUGGGUUCUGGAGCUAGGUGGUCUAAAGUGCUGUAACGCUCAUUGAAGUCCUAACUAAACAGUUAAAGUGACUUUACCCUGUUGUGUGUGUUUAUUCACACACCUCCACCACCGCACAGCAAAAGACCCAUGCAUCCCCACCAGACAGCGGCUAGCUUCAUCACAUCGGCGCUCAGCUGCCCUCGGGUUUCCCACUAACUUCAACUCAAAUCAGUGACUGUGGACAGUGGAAAGAGCUUUGGGCUAUCAACUAAAAGGUUAAGAGUUGGAGUUCCAGCUCUGCCAUGCAACUGCUGUUGGGCCCUUGAGCAAGGCCCCUAACCGUCUUGGCUCCAGGGGUGCCGUACAAUGCCUGACCCUGCUCUCUGACCCCAGCUUCCAGACAAGCUGGGAUAUGCAAAGAAAGAAUUUUAUUGUACUGUGCAUGUUUAUAUGACAAAUAAAGCCAUUCUAUUGUA